rnacentral:lncRNA from 1 species
GGAUAUUAAGAUUUGUAUAAUGUAUCAAGAACCACAUAAUCCAAUGGUUAGCUUUACUCCAAGAUGAGGGGGUUGUUGAUUUUUGUCCGUUAGAUAUGGGAAAUAUGUAAAACCUUAUCAUUAUAUAUAGGGUGGUGGGCAACUAUGCAAUGACCAUCUUGGAAGUUAAGGAAAAGGGAGAAAGAGAAAUCUUUCUGUCUAAAGUGUAAUUAGCAAUGGCUUCCUCUGUUCUUUCCUCUGCAGCAGUUGCCACUCGCACCAAUGUUGCUCAAGCUAACAUGGUUGCACCUUUCACUGGUCUUAAGUCAGCUGCCUCAUUCCCUGUUUCAAGGAAGCAAAACCUUGACAUCACUUCCAUUGCUAGCAAUGGUGGAAGAG